ACUCCUACGGGAGGCAGCAGUGAGGAAUAUUGGUCAAGUGGAGGGAACUCUGAACCAGCCAUCCCGCGUGUAGGAAGACGGCCUUAUGGGUUGUAAACUACUUUUAUACAGGAAGAAACGUACCCUCGUGAGGGUGCCUGACGGUACUGUAGGAAUAAGCACCGGCUAACUCCGUGCCAGCAGCCGCGGUAAUACGGAGGGGUGCGAGCGUUAUCCGGAUUUAUUGGGGUUUAAAGGGUCCGUAGGCGGAUUAAUAAGUCAGUGGUGAAAUCCCAUAGCUUAACGAUGGAACUGCCAUUGAUACUGUUAGUCUUGAAUGAGGGUGCAGUGGUUGGAAUGUGUAGUGUAGCGGUGAAAUGCAUAGAUAUUACACAGAACACCGAUUGCGAAGGCAGAUCACUAACCCUAAAUUGACGCUGAGGGACGAAAGCGUGGGGAGCGAAACAGGAUUAGAUACCCGUGGUAGGAUAGCG
rnacentral:rRNA from 1 species